CCUACGGGCGGGCAGCAGUGGGGAAUAUUGGACAAUGGGGGGAACCCUGAUCCAGCCAUGCCGCGUGUGUGAAGAAGGCCCUCGGGUUGUAAAGCACUUUCAGUGAGGAAGAACGCCUGGUGGUUAAUACCCAUCAGGAAAGACAUCACUCACAGAAGAAGCACCGGCUAACUCCGUGCCAGCAGCCGCGGUAAUACGGAGGGUGCGAGCGUUAAUCGGAAUUACUGGGCGUAAAGCGCGCGUAGGUGGCUUGAUAAGCCGGUUGUGAAAGCCCCGGGCUCAACCUGGGAACGGCAUCCGGAACUGUCAAGCUAGAGUGCAGGAGAGGAAGGUAGAAUUCCCGGUGUAGCGGUGAAAUGCGUAGAGAUCGGGAGGAAUACCAGUGGCGAAGGCGGCCUUCUGGACUGACACUGACACUGAGGUGCGAAAGCGUGGGUAGCAAACAGGAUUAGAUACCCCUGUAGUC
rnacentral:rRNA from 1 species